rnacentral:rRNA from 1 species
CCCUUAGAUGUUCUGGGCUGCACGCGCGCUACACUGAAGCGUUCAACGAGUAUUCACCUUGCCCGGGAGGGUUGGGUAAUCUUUUGAAAACGCUUCGUGAUGGGGAUAGAUUAUUGCAAUUAUUAAUCUUCAACGAGGAAUUCCUAGUAAGCGCGAGUCAUCAGCUCGUGCUGAUUACGUCCCUGCCCUUUGUACACACCGCCCGUCGCACCUACCGAUUGAAUGGUCCGGUGAAAUCUCGGGACGGCGACUUGGUCGCUUGCGUCCGACUGCUGAAACUUGAUUAAACCAUAUCAUUUAGAGGAAGGUGAAGUCGUAACA